UACGGAGGGUGCGAGCGUUGUCCGGAAUCACUGGGCGUAAAGGGCGCGUAGGCGGCUAGUCACGUCGGGUGUGAAAGACCGGGGCUUAACCCCGGUUCUGCAUUCGAUACGGGCUGGCUAGAGUGUGGUAGGGGAGAUCGGAAUUCCUGGUGUAGCGGUGAAAUGCGCAGAUAUCAGGAGGAACACCGGUGGCGAAGGCGGAUCUCUGGGCCAUUACUGACGCUGAGGAGCGAAAGCGUGGGGAGCGAACAGG
rnacentral:rRNA from 1 species